rnacentral:rRNA from 1 species
GACGAACGCUGGCGGCGUGCUUAACACAUGCAAGUCGAACGGAAAGGCCCUGCUUUUGUGGGGUGCUCGAGUGGCGAACGGGUGAGUAACACGUGAGUAACCUGCCCUUGACUUUGGGAUAACUUCAGGAAACUGGGGCUAAUACCGGAUAGGAGCUCCUGCUGCAUGGUGGGGGUUGGAAAGUUUCGGCGGUUGGGGAUGGACUCGCGGCUUAUCAGCUUGUUGGUGGGGUAGUGGCUUACCAAGGCUUUGACGGGUAGCCGGCCUGAGAGGGUGACCGGCCACAUUGGGACUGAGAUACGGCCCAGACGCCUACGGGAGGCAGCAGUGGGGAAUAUUGCAGAGUGGGCGGAAGCCUGAUGCAGCAACGCCGCGUGCGGGAUGACGGCUUUCGGGUUGUAAACCGCUUUCGCCUGUGACGAAGCGUGAGUGACGGUAAUGGGUAAAGAAGCACCGGCUAACUACGUG